AUUUGAAAAUAUAAAGAAAAAAUAUAGUAGGCCUAAGUAAAAACUGUUCAAGGUCCAAUGGACCUUCUGAAUAUUUAGACAUACAUCAUUGAAUGUUUUUACAUAAAACAUCCUGGCACAAUAUUUGUAUUUUCAUUGUGACUGUUUUUAGGCAUGAGUCGGUCUGUUUUUGUAAUCAACCAAUAGGCUACACGGACUUUGUGGACGCUUAGAAUCUGGGAAUUGCCCUCGACAAUAUUGAAUUCACAAGCAGUGAAGAACAUUUUCACGAGGCAUUCAGCUGAAAGGAAGUCCAUCAAGAUGUGCCACGACGGUUGUUCCACUCUAAUUCCUAUCCGUAGACCAUGCUGUGAGCCCUGCUGCGGUCCCUGCUUUGGCUCCUGCUGCGGACCAUGCGGUCCGUGUGGUCCUUGUGGCUGUUCACCAUGCUAUGGAUCAUGUGGAACUUGCUGUGGCGGUUGUGGACCUUGCUGUUAGCGAUUUCUUCAGAACAAAACUAAGUCCCCUUGAAAAGCCACCCAAUAAAUGAAUUGUAAAUUUUAAUAGAGAAAAUGUAAAUUUAA